AAAAUCUUAAGUUAAUAUUAAACUAUUAACCUUCAAAGUUAAAAAUAUAUAAAUCUUAUAGAUUUUA
rnacentral:tRNA from 1 species